ACGGAGGGGGCUAGCGUUGUUCGGAAUCACUGGGCGUAAAGGGCAUGUAGGCGGUCAGGUAAGUGGGACGUGAAAUCCCUCGGCUCACCCGAGGACCUGCGUCCCAUACUGCUUGGCUUGAGUACGGGAGAGGAUGGAGGAAUUCCUGGUGUAGCGGUGAAAUGCGUAGAUAUCAGGAGGAACACCGGUGGCGAAGGCGUCCAUCUGGCCCGAUACUGACGCUGAGGCGCGAAAGCUAGGGUAGCAAACGGGA
rnacentral:rRNA from 1 species